UUGCCGAGACUUAAGACUCUAACACCUAUAAAAUGCUCGCAAAGAAUUGAGUAGAAAAAAGAGUCAAAAGAUUGAAAUUAACCCCCAGAGUAUAAGUGAUGCACGAGAAAAAAGAGAAAGAAAAAUCACACAACAUGAAUGUUGAGUUCAAAACCUUUUGUUAUCCAUUUUUGUGUUUAUCUCACCGUACCCAAGCCCCG
rnacentral:lncRNA from 1 species